AUUUAUGAAAGAUUAACUUCUGCGAAAGCAUCUGCCAAGGAUGUUUUCAUUAAUCAAGAACGAAAGUUAGGGGAUCGAAGACGAUCAGAUACCGUCGUAGUCUUAACCAUAAACGAUGCCGACCAGCGAUUAGGAGACGUUGAAUACAAAACACCACCAUCGGCGCGGUCGUCCUUGGCGUCUCGGUCCUUCACGGGGCCGGGGCGCGGGGGCGGCUUAGCCCGGUGGCACCGGUGAAUGACUCCCCUAGCAGCUUGUGAGAA
rnacentral:rRNA from 1 species